GUGCGGGCGUAUCUGUCAAAUGUACGGUUAAAGGGUUAUUUCGCAUUUUUUGCCGAUCCGCACACAUUGGAAUUUCGCUAACUCCUCCGAAGGCUUUCGUUCCACCGGCACCACAUUUGCUCAGGCCAAUCUACACCCCAUGGCCAUUAAAAGUUAUUCAAAUCAUGACGCUGCACCCCACUGUUUAGGUUCUAGGGGGCGCCAAAGAUAACCCUAAGAUCCACAUAUUUAAAAGUCUUAUAACUUUUUAUUUUUGCCCUCACUGGCCUCCAAGUUUUCUAGGAUGAUGCAAUGUCCAGCCAUCAACACAUUUGUGAAGGAAUUUUUACUCCCCAAAAGAGCGCCCCCCCAUGGCAGGAGAAAAAAGUCCAUUUUUUCUUGUCCCCUAAGGUGAAAAUACACAUUGUUGAGUGUCACGCCUAUACGCUUUGUCAAAAUGACACAAAAAUUGACACACACAUGUAACUCAAUAAGAUCUACAAAAAAGUCCAUGCGCGCGUAUCUGUCAAAUGUACAGUUAAAGGGUUAUUCCGCAUUUUUUGCCGAUACGCACACAUUGGAAUUUCGCUAACUCCUCCGAAGGCUUUCUGUCUACCGGCACCACAUUUGCUCAGGCCAAUCUACACCCCAUGGCCAUUAAAAGUUAUUCAAAUCAUGAUGCUGCACCCCAUGGUUUAGGUUCUAGGGGGCGCCAAAGAUAACCCAAAAAUCCACAUUCUUAAAUGUUUUAUAACUUUUUAUUUUUGUCCUCACUGGCCUCCAAGUUUUCUAGGAUGAUGCAAUGUCCAGCCAUCAACACAUUUGUGAAGGAAUUUUUACUCCCCAAAAGAGCGCCUCCCCAUGGUAGGAGAAAAAAGUCAAUUUUUUCUUGUCCCCUUACAUAAAAAUACACAUUGUUGAGUGUCACGCCUGAACGCUUUGUCAUAUUGACACAAAAAUUGACAAUCAUGUGUAUCUCAAUUAGAUCUACGAAAAAGUCAAAGAGCGCGUAUCUGUUUAAUGUACGGUUAAAGGGCUAUUUUGCAUUUUUUGCCGAUUCGCACACAUUGGAAUGUGGCUAUCUCCUCCUAAGGCUUUCGUCCCACCGAUACCAAAUUUGCUCAGGGCAAUCUACACCCCAUGCCCAUUCAAAGUUGUAAAAAUCAUGACGCUGCACCCCACGGUUUACGUUCUAGGGGGCGCCAAAGAUGACCCAAAAAUCCACAUUCUUAAAAGUCAUUUUGGCCACUGCAGGAGUACAGAGUACUGCAGUUCUAGGGGGCGCCAAAGAUGACCCAAAAAUCCACAUUCUUAAAAGUCUUUUUGGCCACUGCAGGAGUACAGAGUACUGCAGGAUACACACACAUAUACACACACGCCAACAUACACACACACACACACACACACACACACACACACACACACAGACACACACACACACUCAGAGUCUGUUUUUUAGCACCUGCAAAAACAUGCUGUUUACAUAUUUGACAAGAAUGCAGAGGCUUCCUUUUGCCCCUGAAAAAAAUCAAAUUUCAAACACAACUUGACUGUUCAUUUCUCCAAAAGACAACCAUGAAGCUCCAUUUCAAACCUGAAGCAGAUAGUUGGUGCAUGUGUACAGUAACCUGAGGGGAGUGAGGUGACUAUUUCUGAGGAGAACAUGAGCAGUGAAGAUUCACCUUGGAGCUAGAACAGGGACGUGCACAUGAUUAUACAGGGGCAGGGGCUCAAGUUUUUUCCAGUCAUUUAUACAAUAUGGAAAUUAAUGUGAAAUUAAACCACAAAUAUGUGUGAUGAACUGUUUUUAAAACUUAAACUUCAAAUAAAAAUUGUAAACUUCAAAACAUAUGCAAAUUUUUAACAAAGAACAUAGUAAUUUACCUCUAUUUACAUCAAAAUGCAGGCAAUGGCCCAGGCGUUCUUUGUAAAAUUAUUUACAAAACACUGUAUAGUCUCACAAAUGUCACUUUUUAUUUAUGCCACUACAAAAAAACAUGAUGUAAAUGAUGCAUGAUGUAAAACAUGAUGUAAAAAACUUGUGUAGAUCCUCCUCUAUGUCAGUCCAUGUGUAAUUUUUCCAUAAUUCUUUGUUUUUUGCAGCAUUUUUGUUAGUGUAACUGCAGAUUGUGCUGACAGUGUCUAUGGCACAAAAAAAAAAAAAAUUAAAAUGCCUCAACAUGAACCCCUGGUGGUCUCUGAGGGUGAAACCUGCUAACUGCUGCAGCUCUGUCAGCUUCAGUCUCCCAUGCAGAGCUCUGAGCGCAUGUGUGGCUCUGCACCCUUAGCAGCGUUGCUAACUCCUCAGUAAGGAAAGCCUGCUUCAUGUCAGAGUCUCUAAACUCCAGAAGAAGUCGAUAAAAGUCCCUUUCUUUCUAAAAAAAAGUCGUUAGGGUGUCUGAAAAGUCAUUGAAUCUAACAACAAAGUCGCUAGGUUUGCAACUACGUGUCCCAGACUGCAUCCCUGCUGAGAGUCCCUCCCUCCCUUCUCAUGUUGCAGGAAGAACGUAAGCGCCCGCCCCUUGUCAAUCAGUCACCAUAUAAUUUUGGAUUGGUUGUUGUGGUGAAGUUUUCCACCAAUAGGAGAGAUGUUGUGGUGUGUUUUUUUUUUCUUUUGGCAAGCCUUUUCCGCCUGUAAGACCUGUCGCUAAUGUCUGCAUGCUAUGUUUUCCUGUCUCAUACAGCGCGAUCGAGCGCCGAACGUGAUCAAAAUAAGCAGAAAAAAAGUAUCGCGGACAUAAUUUAUCAUAACUCUGGUUUUAUUUGGCCUAUCAACACAAUUUAAAAACUGGUAUAUAGGUUGAGGUCCUCACUUUUGAGAUAAGUUGAAACGGAGAGUCAACGAGGCUCCGUCUUGCAGCUACAUCCGGUUAAAUAUGUCAUGUGACUUGAACGCACACAUAGACACACACACACACACACACACACACACACACACACACACACACACACACACACACACACACUCAGAGUCUGGUUUUUAGCACCUGCAAAAACAUGCUAUUUACAUAUUUGACAAGAAUGCAGAGGCUCCUUUUGCCCCUGAAAAAAAUCAAAUUUCAAACACAACUUGACUGGUCAUUUCUCCAAAAGACAACCAUGAAGCUCCAUCCAAACCUGAAGCAGGCAGUUGGUGCAUGUGUACAGUAACCUGAGGGGAGUGAGGUGAGUGCUUCUGAGGAGAACAUGAGCAGUGAAGAUUCACCUUGGAGCUAGAACAGAGACAUGCACAUGAUUAUACAGGGGCAGGGGCUCAAGUUUUUUCCAGUCGUUUAUACAAUAUGGAAAUUAAUGUGAAAUUAAAACACAAAGUAUUAAUAGAAAGGUAAUGACUGUCCUGUGUAGGUGACAGUGAUAUCCAAUAGGCUAGGCACUCACGAGGCUGGCUGUGGCAAGUGUAAGUGAAAGCAACACGCACUGGCAGGAAGAACAGCAAACGCCGAUGAAGGAAAAGGGUCUUUGCAGUGAUGGCCGUUAACAGAGAGGGCGAUGGCCAGAGGACACAAAUGGGACGGGGAGGCAGCACGUUGGGGGGGGGAGACACGACACGGCUCGGGCCCGCCAGUGCCCCAACGGGGUCCUAGUUCUUUAGGGCACGAGCGUAGCUGCUAAGCAGCUGCGAGAGCCCUCUUGUUCCUGCAUGUUUCCUUCUUUCGUUAUUAUUUUUCCUCCGCUUUAAACUGGAAAAUGGCCCACUUCCCACUGGCGAAAACUCAGGAAAUUUGGCAGGACGACCGGGCCUGGUGAAAAAUUCGAUAUUCUGAAGUCGCCCAAACAAUAAAAUGCAAAAUGGCUCCAUAGCGCCCCCUAAGGUGAAAAUUCACAUGACGGCUGUACGCUUUGUCAUAUUGACACAAAAAUUGACACACACGUGUAUCUCAAUAAGAUCUACAAAAAAGUCAGUGUGGGCGUAUCUGUCAAAUGUACGGUUAAUGGGUUAUUUUUCAUUUUUUGCAGAUCUGCACACAUUGGAAUUUCGCUAACUCCUCCGAAGGCUUUCGUUCGACCGGCACCACAUUUGCGCAGGCCAAUCUACACCCCAUGGCCAUUAAAAGUUGUACAAAUCAUGACGCUGCACCCCACGGUUUAUGUUCUAGGGGGCGCCAAAGAUAACCCAAAAAUCCACAUUCUUAAAAGUGUUAUAACGUUUUACUUUUGUCCUCACUGGCCUCCAAGUUUUCUAGGAUGAUGCAAUGUCCAGCCAUCAACACAUUUGUGAAGGAAUUUUUACUCCCCAAAAGAGCGCCCCCCAAUGGCAGGAGAAAAAGGUCCAUUUUUUCUUGUCUCCAAAGGUCAAAAUACACAUUGUCGAGUGUCACGCCUGUAUGCUUUGUCAUAUUGACACAAAAUUUGACAAUCACGUGUAUCUCAAUAAGAUCUACGAAAAAGUCAAAGGGCAUGUAUCUGUCAAAUGUACGGUUAAAGGGCUAUUUUGCAUUUUUUGCUGAUCCGCACACAUUGGAAUUUCACUAACUCCUCCGAAGGCUAUCUUUCCACCGGCACCAAAUUUGCUCAGGCCAAUCUACACCCCAUGGCCAUUAAAAGUUGUACAAAUCAUCUUGCUGCACCCCACGGUUUGGGUUCUAGGGGGCACCAAAUAUAACCCAAAAAUCCACAUUCUUAAAAGUGUUAUAACUUUUUAUUUUUUUCCAUACUGGCCUCCAAGUUUUUUAGGAUGAUGCAAUGUCCAGCCAUCAACACAUUUGUGAAGAAAUUUUUACUCCCCAAAAGAGCGCCCCCCCAUGGCAGGAGAAAAAAGUCCAUUUUUUCUUAUCCCGAAAGGUGAAAAUACACGUUGUUGAGUGUCACGCCUUUACGCUUUGUCAUAUUGACAAAAAAAUUGACAAUCAUGUGUAUCUCAAUUAGAUCUACGAAAAAGUCAAAGAGCGCGUAUCUGUAUAAUGUACGGUUAAAGGGCUAUUUUGCAUUUUUUGCCGAUUCGCACACAUUGGAAUGUGGCUAUCUCCUCCUAAGGCUUUCGUCCCACCGAUACCAAAUUUGCUCAGGGCAAUCUACACCCCAUGCCCAUUCAAAGUUGUAAAAAUCAUGACGCUGCACCCCACGGUUUACGUUCUAGGGGGCGCCAAAGAUGACCCAAAAAUCCACAUUCUUAAAAGUCAUUUUGGCCACUGCAGGAGUACAGAGUACUGCAGUUCUAGGGGGCGCCAAAGAUGACCCAAAAAUCCACAUUCUUAAAAGUCUUUUUGGCCACUGCAGGAGUACAGAGUACUGCAGGAUACACACACAUAUACACACACGCCAACAUACACACACACACACACACACACACACACACACACACACACACACACACACACACACACACACUCAGAGUCUGUUUUUAAGCACCUGCAAAAACAUGCUGUUUACAUAUUUGACAAGAAUGCAGAGGCUUCCUUUUGCCCCUGAAAAAAAUCAAAUUUCAAACACAACUUGACUGUUCAUUUCUCCAAAAGACAACCAUGAAGCUCCAUUUCAAACCUGAAGCAGAUAGUUGGUGCAUGUGUACAGUAACCUGAGGAGAGUGAGGUGACUAUUUCUGAGGAGAACAUAAGCAGUGAAGAUUCACCUUGGAGCUAGAACAGGGACGUGCACAUGAUUAUACAGGGGCAGGGGCUCAAGUUUUUUCCAGUCAUUUAUACAAUAUGGAAAUUAAUGUGAAAUUAAACCACAAAUAUGUGUGAUGAACUGUUUUUAAAACUUAAACUUCAAAUAAAAAUUGUAAACUUCAAAACAUAUGCAAAUUUUUAACAAAGAACAUAGUAAUUUACCUCUAUUUACAUCAAAAUGCAGGCAAUGGCCCAGGCGUUCUUUGUAAAAUUAUUUACAAAACACUGUAUAGUCUCACAAAUGUCACUUUUUAUUUAUGCCACUACAAAAAAACAUGAUGUAAAUGAUGCAUGAUGUAAAACAUGAUGUAAAAAACUUGUGUAGAUCCUCCUCUAUGUUAGUCCAUGUGUAAUUUUUCCAUAAUUCUUUGUUUUUUGCAGCAUUUUUGUUAGUGUAACUGCAGAUUGUGCUGACAGUGUCUAUGGCAAAAAAAAAAAAAAAACUGAAAAUGCCUCAACAUGAACCCCUGGUGGUCUCUGAGGGUGAAACCUGCUAACUGCUGCAGCUCUGUCAGCUUUAGUCUCCCAUGCAGAGCUCGGAGCGCAUGUGUGGCUCUGCACCCUUAGCAGCGUUGCUAACUCCUCAGUAAGGAAAGCCUGCUUCAUGUCAGAGUCUCUAAACUCCAGAAGAAGUCGAUAAAAGUCCCUUUCUUUCUAAAAAAAAGUCGUUAGGGGGUCUGAAAAGUCAUUGAAUCUAACAACAAAGUCGCUAGGUUUGCAACUACGUGUCCCAGACUGCAUCCCUGCUGAGAGUUCCUCCCUCCCUUCUCAUGUUGCAGGAAGAACGUAAGCGCCCGCCCCUUGUCAAUCAGUCACCAUAUAAUUUUGGAUUGGUUGUUGUGGUGAAGUUUUCCACCAAUAGGAGAGAUGUUGUGGUGUGUUUUUCUUUUUCUUUGGCAAGCCUUUUCCG